AAUAGAUACCCGGGUAGUCCACGCCGUAAACGAUGAGUGCUAAGUGUUAGAGGGUUUCCGCCCUUUAGUGCUGCAGCUAACGCAUUAAGCACUCCGCCUGGGGAGUACGGCCGCAAGGCUGAAACUCAAAGGAAUUGACGGGGGCCCGCACAAGCGGUGGAGCAUGUGGUUUAAUUCGAAGCAACGCGAAGAACCUUACCAGGUCUUGACAUCCUCUGCUAACCCUAGAGAUAGGGCGUUCCCCUUCGGGGGACAGAGUGACAGGUGGUGCAUGGUUGUCGUCAGCUCGUGUCGUGAGAUGUUGGGUUAAGUCCCGCAACGAGCGCAACCCUUGAUCUUAGUUGCCAGCAUUCAGUUGGGCACUCUAAGGUGACUGCCGGUGACAAACCGGAGGAAGGUGGGGAUGGACGUCAAAUCAUCAUGCCCCUUAUGACCUGGGCUACACACGUGCUACAAUGGAUGGUACAAAGAGCUGCGAACCCGCGAGGGUAAGCCAAUCUCAUAAAGCCAUUCUCAGUUCGGAUUGUAGG
rnacentral:rRNA from 1 species